UACGAGGGGGGCAAGCGUUGUUCGGAAUUACUGGGCGUAAAGCGCGCGUAGGCGGCCUUGCAAGUUAGAGGUGAAAGCCCGGAGCUCAACUCCGGAACUGCCUUUAAAACUGCAUAGCUUGAAUCCGGGAGAGGUGAGUGGAAUUCCGAGUGUAGAGGUGAAAUUCGUAGAUAUUCGCAAGAACACCAGUGGCGAAGGCGGCUCACUGGCCCGGUACUGACGCUGAGGCACGAAAGCGUGGGGAGCAAACAGG
rnacentral:rRNA from 1 species